rnacentral:tRNA from 1 species
GGCAACGUGACGGAGUGGUUAACGUGAUCGCCUCGAAGAAUCAACCUGAAAGCGAUUUCCUUCGGGAGCGCAGGUUCGAAUCCUGCCGUUGUCG